rfam:Picea glauca, whole genome shotgun sequence.
GUAGCAAGCUAAGUGCGCUUGAUUGUGGAAAAACUCCACAGUUAAGCACGCUUCAGCCAGAGGCGUCUUGGGAUGGGUGACCACCUGGGAAGUCCUGGUUACCAGGUGCA